GCAUAGAAGGGUUUGGGCUGAAAUCUUGGAUUUCCCUGAUGCAUGAAAUUUUGAUGCAAACCGUAAGGCCACGAAGCUGGGACAAGGGGGAAAUGGCGUGGUGCAUGUUCCCAUGGAAUUGGAGGAUUUAGUCCUCGAAAGCGUGGCCAGUGUCCAUCGUGAGAAGGGCUGGGAAUUGCCAUGGGCCUGGCAGCAGGCUGUGCAAAGAUGAUGCUGGGAUCAUUCAAGCCAAUGUUGCUGGGGGUGCUGCCAGGUGCAGAGUGCAGCAUCGGGCCGUGGAUGGGCCACGAUGGGGCAGGGAUCUGCAGGGGGUGCAUUGGCAGUAACCCCAUACUGUGCAUGGGUGAAUAAUGAGCUGGAGGUGACUGAGGAAAGUUAUACAAGGGCAUCUGAACCUGAUGAGGGGGCUGCCCUCCCUGCUGGGGUGGGCCAAGCUUAGGCUGGGAUCCUGGCUGGGAUGGAGGUGGGGGAAGAGCAGAUGGUUGGGGAGAAUUCUGUGGAAAAGGCUGAGGCUGAGGAGAAUAAGAU
rnacentral:lncRNA from 1 species